ACAUUAAUUAUAUAUUUAUAAAAUAAAAAUAAUAUCUGUACGGAUCAAGCUCUAGUUUUAUAUUAAAAAAAUAAAAACAAAUGAAUUAUUAGAAAGGAGCAUUAGAAAAAAAGCUCUAGUUUUAUAUUAAAAAAAAUAAAAACAAAUGAAUUAUUAGAAAGGAGCAUUAGAAAAAAAGAACUGAAUAAGAAUAUAUGGGCAUUUGAUCCAAGGUCUUGUGACCUAAUUUAAAUAGACGGAAAAACAUCAGAUAAAAAUAUUGUAGUGGGCCAAGGAAAGAAAGAAAAGCCCAAAUUGAGAGAUAAGAGAUAUGUACGAAGAAACAAAUAACUACGUGACAAGAAUUAGAGUCAGCAAUGUUGAGGUGGCUUUAAGAAACCAACGAUUAGUAUCAAUUUGAUCCCGGAUUGAACACUAAAAUCUAUCUAUCUAUAUAUCUUAUACUAUAAAGUAGACUUCAAUCUCUCCAUUGGGCAUUUUGCGUCGGCAUGCAAAUCGACCAAUAAAUAAUAGUUAUUUUCGCCAUGUCAGAUAACCAAACCUCUCGCUGUAUUUCUUUCUCAACCUUCGUAGCUUAUUGAGAAAUUGAAAAGUCAAGAGACUUGAAUUUCUGCUCCACUCACUCAAUAACUUUGGCUAUUAUUUGCAUUUAUAAGAUCCGAAACACAAAUCUGGAAUCACUGUUCGACUUCUCCUCCUCUCCCACUUUUUAUAUCAUCAUCUAAAUCCGCUCUAACCUAAAGCCACUGUGGCAUCUAGAAAUUCCAAAUCAAACAUCCUCAUAUCUGCACGAGUCACAACUAUAGCCGCCUCACUAUGGUUUCAACUGAAGAGAGUCUUUUGGAAUGACCUCUAUGGAUCUUGGUAAAAAUUAAUUCCUCCGAUGAUGUUUACGGUCAGGAUUUUCUAUGAUUCAUGCGUCUGAU
rnacentral:lncRNA from 1 species